rnacentral:rRNA from 1 species
CUGGUUGAUCUUGCCAGAGGCCACUGGUAUCGGAGUACGACUUAGCCAUGCGAGUCACAGGGGCGCAAGCCACUGGCAGACGGCUCAGUAACACGUAGGUAACCUACCCUUCGGACGGGCACAACCCCGGGAAACUGGGGCUAAUUCCCGAUAGGUACCCCCUUCUGGAAUGUGGGGAUAUCCAAAGCUCCGGCGCCGAAGGAUGGGCCUGCGGCCGAUUAGGUUGUUGGCGGGGUAACAGCCCACCAAGCCGACGAUCGGUACGGGCAGUGAGAGCUGUAGCCCGGAGAUGGGGACUGAGACAAGGCCCCAGGGCCUACGGGGCGCAGCAGGCGCGAAACCUUCACAAUGCACGAAAGUGUGAUGAGGGUACUCCGAGUGCGCAUACAUUGUAUGUGCUUUUCUGCAGCGUAAAUAGUUGCAGGAAUAAGGGCUGGGCAAGACCGGUGCCAGGCGCCGCGGUAACACCGGCAGCCCCUAGUGGUGGGCCGCUUUUAUUGGGCCUAAAGCGUCCGUAGCCGGACAGGCAAGUCUUUGGGUAAAUCCUACGUCUUAGGCGUGGGAAUUCUAAAGAUACUACCUGUCUUGAGGGCGGGANAAGGCUGGAGGUACUCCUUGGGUUAGGGGAAAAUCCUAUAAUCCCUGGGGGGACCCNCCAUGGGCGAGGGCUCCAGCUGGAACGGGCCUGGAGGGUGAGGGACGAAACCCAGGGGAGG